rnacentral:tRNA from 2 species
GACAACAGCUCAGCGGUUGAACAGUCGCUUAACAAGCGAUAGGUCGGUGGCUCGAUCCCACCGAGGCGUCA